rnacentral:rRNA from 1 species
CCUACGGGUGGCAGCAGUGAGGAAUAUUGGUCAAUGGACGAGAGUCUGAACCAGCCAAGUAGCGUGAAGGAUGACUGCCCUAUGGGUUGUAAACUUCUUUUAUAUGGGAAUAAAAUGUUCCACGUGUGGGUUUUUGUAUGUACUAUAUGAAUAAGGAUCGGCUAACUCCGUGCCAGCAGCCGCGGUAAUACGGAGGAUCCGAGCGUUAUCCGGAUUUAUUGGGUUUAAAGGGAGCGUAGGUGGAUUGUUAAGUCAGUUGUGAAAGUUUGCGGCUCAACCGUAAAAUUGCAGUUGAAACUGGCAGUCUUGAGUACAGUAGAGGUGGGCGGAAUUCGUGGUGUAGCGGUGAAAUGCUUAGAUAUCACGAAGAACUCCGAUUGCGAAGGCAGCGCACUGGACUGCAACUGACACUGAGGCUCGAAAGUGUGGGUAUCAAACAGGAUUAGAUACCCUUGUAGUC